rnacentral:lncRNA from 1 species
ACUGAGGGCGCGCGCCUCUGGUCCCGGCCGCCUCGGCCUUGGCCGGCGCGCGGGGGCGGAAAGGCGCGGGCAGCAGCUGGCGGACAGCUGACGACACCCGCCUGGUUGAAGGCGAGGGGUGAGGGUUUGCUGAAGCAAACCGGAGCCCGGCAGCUGCCUUCGUUGAGGAUGGCCAACACUUGGGCUUCCUGUGUCACACAAUUGUGCCUCAGAAAUCCGCAGCUGUUCAUUACAUCGUCUCUUUAACAGCUUAGGCCAAAGUGCCAUAAUACUGUCACAAUUUGCUGAGGGAUCUGCACAGCGCGAUCCGAAGACUUGUCCAUUCUACGACGGUUCUUGUUGAGUGUCAGCGGUAGAUUAUUUUUUUGUCUUUAAGAAGAAGAAAAAACCCCCAAAAAACUCCAUUGGAAUAAAGACAGUUGUUAAUCCACAAAAGCAUUUUGUUUCUCAUGAGUUACCAUGAAGUCUCUGCAGCCGACUUCCUUGGAGAUUUUUUAAAGGAACACAAGGUCAGCUUUCAGUUUUCCAUGUUAAGCGUGGGCAGCAUAGAUAAGUAAAAGCUGCCUGCAAUCUCCAACCCUCCUUUGUAAAGGGCUUGUGCUCUGGAGGCUGUUAGCCAUGGUUUUCCUUAUAAACCGAGAGACUGGUCAGUAUCUCUGAACCUCAGCCUCCACAUCUGUAAAACGGGCAUUUUACUCACUUUUCUGGGUAAUUGUAAACCAUAAAAGGAUAAAACAGUGUACACUGCACAGUUCAGAUUCUCUCAUGUAACAGGUACAGAGCAAAUUAUAGUUCCCUUUCUUCCCCAGAUAGAUUCCUACAGCGAAUUUUACUUCUUUACAAAAUCUUCCAGAGACAGGUCAAAUACUGUUGCAAUAACUGUUAACAACCAAAAUAUCAAUUUCAAGAUGUCCAAGCUUUAAUUGACAGAGUUAUUUAAUCAGUUGGAUGGAAAAAAAUCUUAAAUGAUAUAAAAUAAUUUGGACGGGUCUUUCAAGUUUAUUGUAUAGAAAUUGAACUAUUGGCCUGAUACAGUUGCUCACAUCUAUAAUCCCAGCAGUUUGGGAGGCCAAGGCAGGUGGAUAGCUUGAGCCCGGGAGUUGGAGACUAGCCUGGGCAACAUAGCAAGACCCUGUCUCAAAAAUAAAUUAAUUAAUUAAAAUUUAGAAAAAACGAAAUUGAACUGUUCUGGUCACUAAGCAUGCCUGACUGACUCCAAGUUCACCUCCUUUUCCCUUCCCCUUUAGUCCCCGGGAGGAAGAAUUAAUAAGGAAUAAAGUGGACAAAAAGCUGGCAAAGUAGAGGGUCGAAGGUAAACAGUGAAUAUACAGGUUUCACAUUCACCCCAAAAGCACAUAUGUACAGCUGUAUACUAGCUAAUGGUGGCGGAAGAAGGGAAGUGCCAAAAUAGAGGGUACUUUUCUGCUCCUAAUAGCGGAGAAUUUACUAUACGUAACAUUGUUUUUUACAUAAAAAAACAUGAUACUCAAAAUGUGUUGAAUGACUUACACAUUUGCAUUUUACAUGUAUUAUUUCCUAUCUCUUAGUGCUUUCUGUUGGAUGUUUUUACACUAGGAAGUUUCUGUACUAUAACAGAGCACAUCUACGAAACAUUUAAUCCGAUUCAUUUCCUUGCAUGCCUAAUCGAUAAAGAGUAAUGCAUAAAAACA